AACGAACGCUGGCGGCAUGCCUAACACAUGCAAGUCGAACGAGACCUUCGGGUCUAGUGGCGCACGGGUGCGUAACGCGUGGGAACCUGCCCUUAGGUUCGGAAUAACUCCCCGAAAGGGGUGCUAAUACCGGAUAAUGUCUUCGGACCAAAGAUUUAUCGCCUUUGGAUGGGCCCGCGUUGGAUUAGCUAGUUGGUAGGGUAAAAGCCUACCAAGGCCACGAUCCAUAGCUGGUCUGAUAAGAUGAUCAGCCACACUGGGACUGAGACAAGGCCCAGACCGCCACGGGGGGGAGGAGGGGGGAAUAUUAGGCAAGGGGGCAAAAGCCGAUACCGCCAUGCCGGGGUAGUGGUUAAGGGCUUUGGGUUGGAAAGCCGCUUUUACCGGGGAGAUAAUGACAGUACCGGGAGAAUAAGCUCCGGCUAACUACGUG
rnacentral:rRNA from 1 species